GUCGGUCAAGGUUUUGAGGCCUGGUUCCAAUGAAAAAAACCAAAAGGACUUUUUGUCAGAAGCAUCCAUCAUGGGUCAGUUUAAUCAUCCAAAUGUCAUUCGACUUGUAGGAGUGGUUACUCAAAGUUGGCCCAUGAUGAUCCUCACAGAAUUCUUGGAGAGCGGGUCGUUGGAUAACUUUUUGAAGGUAUUACUGUGAUUAUAAAUGU